UGGUCACACCGUUUGUUCAUGAGAUUACUGAAGGGGAAGCGAGAGAAGAGGUCUGGUCAUCUGUUAGUUACUUAUUCUUCAUCUCUACUUCUUUGAUCUAUGGAAAGAACCAACAAGUUAGGCAAGGCAUUGUGUGAUUAAAAGAUCUGAAAGGUGUGCUUGGACCGGAGAUGAGAAGAGCCUGGUGGUACCUUGUUUACAAGGUCUUCCCAGUUGAUGAACCCACCCUGAAUCCUGAGAGCAAGAGAGCCCUUUUAAUGAGGUCCAGUGGUUCUGGGACUUGGGCUUAUAUCAGAAUCACCUGCAGAUCUCCAAGACCUGAAAGAGGACUUCUCAGAAUCCUGACUCUGAAUUUGGUCUCAACAUCUGUUUUCUGCAGCUUCUCUCAAGCUCAGAGUUUUCUUAUGCCAGCCUCAAACUGUGCAGAUUCUGACCCUGGGACUUGUUCUUCCCUGUAAGAGCAUCCCUUUGAGCCUGAGGUGUGGACACUGUCUUUGAUUCUUAAGCAUUUAAAAAAUUUUUAUUGGAGUAUAUAGUACUUGAUUUACAAUGUUGUGUUAGUUUCAGGUAUACUUGAUCUUUUAUUUUUUAUUUAUAUUUUGUCCAAAUUUAUGACCCAAAUACUUCAGAAAUUUUUCUUUUGAAAAAAGUAAUUCUCAGUAUGGAUAUUUUCUUUUUUAAAUCUCUAAAUGGUUAAACAAAUGCCUACUACAUGACUUUUUUGGAGAUAUACAAAAAAUGUUUGCAUCUCAAUGGAAAAUAUGCAUUGACUACUGCAUACCCUUUUGAGUUAUCAGAUUAUAGCCCUGUUCGUUUUCUUUGAGCUGUUUUGCAACUCUUUCUAAAUUAUAGGUAACUGAUAUGUAAAUUUCAUCUUGUCAG
ensembl:lncRNA